UUCGAGGAGAAUAUCAAGGUGGUGGAAAAGUCGACUUCGUCCUUGCUUUUGUUAGUGUUGGAUAGGUAUCACGAUCGGGUCUGGAAUUGAGUGGUUUACAUCAACAUCAGAAAAAGCGAAAGAAGAGAGAGGAAAGAAGAGAGGAAAGGAGAAGAUCUCGGUGACAAUAUAUCGGUUGCAAGUUGUCAAUAUUGUUGGCUGGAAUAUCUACAGAAGAAUAAUAGAGAUUCAAAUCGAUUCUGUGGGUUCUACAGUUUCAGAUCCGGGUAACUCACUGCAAGAACUUCAAGGGAAUUGCAACUUUAAUCACUCUGUUGGAAGAAAAAAACAACCAGGUUUAAAACAGAAUAGCAACUAAAGUGUCAAAGCUGCAGAGUUUCAAAUAAAAGAUUUAAAACAAAACAGCAGUUAAAGUGUCAAAGCUUUAGAGUUUAAAAUCAAGGGUGACGUAAUUGUUUGACAAUAUCUCUAUUUCGUACAGGAAACCUGCCCUCUCCCCUUUGAGGUUUUCUGGAUUCUAUGCAAAACAGUAUAUGUGUGAUUUUCAUCCCGCUGUUCCUCUGCAUAUUGCUUACAGCUAUUUUAACGUCGAGUCCUUCUAUAGGUGUGUGCUCUUAAUUCAUAUUGUGAACAUUGUUUGAAUCAAUUGUGAUGAAUGAAUUGUCAUGUGUCUGUACUUACUGUUUUGUGUAGAUGUUGCAAACUUAUUUCAACUGAAUUUUGGGUCAGAUUGUUGGUAUACAUAUUUAAUAAUGUUUGAAGUCUGUUGACGUAUAGACUUUUCUCAAAAUUAAAAUCUUACUAUGGACCAUUUAAGAUUGCUUCUAUUUAGGUUGAUUAGAAUAAAUUUACUCACUGUUUGGUUGGUAUACAACUCAUAUAAAAAAAGAUUUUUGAUUCCGACUCAUUUUGUUUACAAACAUUAUUUUGUGGUUUUUAUUGUUUUCAUAAUGUUUUGGAUUUCGAUCUGUGCUUUUUAUCAAAGUGAGAAUUUCAGUCCAAUUAUUUUUGGUGUUCAUAUUUGUUGGAUUUUGUAAUUCCAGGAAUCUUAUACUGUGAUUAAUUUUGUUUAGAAACAUU